rnacentral:lncRNA from 1 species
UUUUUUUUUUUUUUUGGUUUUUUUUUUUUUCAAGAUUAAGAACAGUCUUCAUUUUAAAAGUCAGGAGAACUAUGGAGUUCAGAGAGUGAACCUCUCAGAACCAACUGGGAGAUUGUUACAGCAGAAAGGCUGCUGUGGGGUCAGCCUGACUUCUGGGUCAUAGCCAGGAGCAUAACAACUCUCCCAGGCCACACCUCAAGCCCUGCCCUGCCCCUAAGCAUGCCAUAGCUCAGAGCCUUAGGACUUCCAUGGACUUCCUUCUUUUCCGGGGUCCCCAGAGAUCAUUGGGUUUCUUGGAAGGGGUUAUUCUUACCUCGCUGGGGCCUGGGAUCCAUCCCCAAGUUACUUCACUAUAGCUAUUCAGAUGGAGUCAGGACCCAGGUCACACAUCUGACAUCAUGCCAGCUCUUGACUCCUGACUGACUUCUUGGAGUAGUGGCUCUGACACCAAGGGCUUCACAGAUUCUGUGUCCACUUUGGCUUCUAGACUUGUCAAGACCUAUAUGGGCUGCUCCAUCCAUUCAUAUCUGCUAACCCUAUUCUCUGGAUGCUAUUCCUAUGGCCUGCUGCACUUCAUGCUUAGACCCUAGGGCAGAGGAUCUCACCUUGUGGGUCACAACCCCAUGAGGGUCAAAUGACCCUUUCACAGGGAGUCACCUAAGACCAUUGGAAAACAUAGGUAUUUACAUUACAAUUCAUACAUAAACAGGAGCAAAAUUGCAGUUAGGAAGUAGCAAUUAAAAUAGCUUUAUGGUUGGCGGUCACCACAACAUGAGGAACUGUAUUAAAGGGUCACAGCGUUGGGAAGGUUGAGAACCACUUUAAAUAUUUAUAUAUUUAAAUCAUUCCUCAAAAUUUUUAAUGAUUCUUGAAAUUUAUCCCACAUUCAUCUAAGUACCCCUCUCCCUUCCCUGGCUCUCUCUGGCCAUCCUUCCCUCCCUCUCUUUCCUUCAUUCCUCUCCCUUUGACUGAGGCAGGGAGCUUUUCCAUACCUGGGUCAUGAGAAGUGCGUCCAUCGAGGAAGCUAACCCUUGCAUCCCUAGGUCAUUCUUUGUUCAUUAAGAGGCUGAGAAGCAAAAAGAAAGCAGGUGCAGUCAAGCCCCUCUGCUUACUAGCUGACCUCAGGUAGGUUCCCUGGGCCCUCCUUUUAUCUCUCUGCCCCACCAGUGAAAUGAUAGCUUGUGGAGAGGGUGGCAUCAAGAAAAUGACUCAUUUAGACAGCCAAAAAAUGCAAGUGUUGACAUACUUGUAUGAACUAAGGGCUGGCGCAAUUUUAAGUGCACACACAGCAUGGUCUUUGUAAAAGCAAAUGGAGCUGCGGGCCUAAGAUGUUCAGGGUCCAGCCCUGUUAUGGAAGGACAGAGAUGUAGAGCACAGGAUAUCACUGCUAUCAUAGGGAGUCCAAGUACCAGCCCCACUGUGGACCGAUUCAACAAGCUCCCCGUACAACUGCUUCACUAACAGCUGUUUGCUGUGGGGCAAGUGACUCAACACCUCUGGGCCUCCAUUUCCUCCUCUGUAAAAUGGAAGCUAUCUCCCUGCGCAGACUGCCAGGGCUCCUGUAAGAAAUAAACAAGACAAUACUUGUAAGGCUCUUCUCACAGUGCCCAAGCAUUCAAUAAGGGCUCCAUGGGAUUCUUGUCAAAUGUGUCCCAUCUUAUGCAAGAGACAGUUCUGGAAAAGUUGUGAAACCAAAUCCCAUUUUCCCACAAGUGACUUCAUCACUACAGGGAUACUUUAUCUCUGCCUCCCAUCGUCCUCGGAAGGGAAAGACUUGGGACACCUCUGCAACAGGGGCCUGUCUCUUCCCAGUUUCAAUAUCACCCAUUUAUGCCGUGGAAAAGUAGAACGGGAGGGUGGUAGAUGUCAUGAUUCCUUGCUGCCCCUAUAUGUAAUGGGUGGCUCUGUCUUAUUAAUAUUUUAAAAAUUCAUUCAUCUUGCUCUUGUCUGUACCUUUCCAUCUUUCUUUCCUGUCGUCUCUUUGCGUCUCUGUUUCCUCUCCUCCCUACAAUCUGUAUGUAACUCAUGAAAUAGGUUGUACUUCCAGCUGGCUUCCAUUCUUUCACCAGAAUAUUCUUUCUUUAACUCUUUUGGAGUUCAUAAACUCUUUGGAAAAUCUAAUGUGUGAUGCAACCUGUGUCCCCCAGAAAAAGAAACACUCUUUAUGCUCAGUCCCACAGAGCAGUCUAGGGUCAAAGGAGCCCUUGAAGUCUACCAUGUCACACUGCUAAGGAGCCUGAUCAGCCAGAGUCAAGGUCCUUCAUAAAUAGCCAUGUCCCAGUAAUGGCUGCUAAGGUAUAUGUUUAUUCUUGCCCUUCCCCAAUAUGUAGACUCCACAGUCUAGCACGUGUAACAUCUGCCACCAGGCUCCAACCAUCUUCCCACGACAUUUUCCCUUGCAUGCAUGAAUGUUUCUGAUCAAGCUGGUUAGAUGGUUGGCCUUUGUCCCUCUUGGCUGUCACCUCACCUCUGUCCCAUUUCUCCACUCUCAAGCACACUACCCACAACCCUUAUCUGUGUCCAACUCACAGUGCAAAUGUAUGUGACCUUCCCCUGCCUGAUCAGAGGAAAAGCAUGGAGGAUGGGCAGAGCAAAGAGGCUCAGCUCUCAAAACAGAAAUCCAAGGAGGAGCAUGGAACUGUAAGCUGCCAAUAUAGCUGAGGUAGGAGCUGAAAGAGCAACCAGGACCCAGUCUGGUGGGAUACUGGAGAACUGGAAGUGGCCAACUCCCAGGCCCAUGAACUCGCUGGGUACUAUCCCAAAGAUGGCAUUGCCUACAUAAGACAGUUCAGCCAAACCUAAUCACCAACCAGCACCGCUUCAUUCACAACCCUCGAGAAACCUGGGAGAAUGCACGAUUGGUGUCCAAGUUCCCAUUCUGUGGGUCUGCGUGGGUUCCAGGAAACUGCAUCCUACCCACAUGUCUAGGAGAGCUGGCCAUGGCUUCAAGAGAUGCUCGGUGCCUCCCUUGCUGCACGGCGGGCGUGGCCACCUGCUGCACUGCUCUCUCCUCAGUGAGAGAACUUUACAGUCACCUCACCCUGAAGUGCCUGUCUCAGUAGACCCGGCAGAGAGAAGCUGUUGCUCCUCUGUUAGCAGAUGUCCCCAAACGGCAUCAACAGCCUCAAGCAAGGACCCUGGCUCAUGGUUUCCUGCUGCUGUGAUUAGCGGAGCCUGCCUUGUACUUUGCUUUAGUUCCUCCUGUUGCAUUCAGAGCGCCAAAACAUCCAGUUCCCCAUGAUGGAGGCUGAUGUCAGAGGUGAUAAACGUGAGCGGAGCUCAGCUCCUGGCUCAAAGUUGUCCUUCUGU